AGUUUUUAGUUUGGUAGCCAAGGAUGACUUGCCCACGAUCCAUUACUAAUUAGAGACUAAGGUUUCAAUUCUUUUUGGACUCUGGGCAGUUACCCUUGGUUAUGCAGACAAACUCU
rnacentral:pre_miRNA from 9 species